rnacentral:rRNA from 1 species
UACGGAGGGUGCGAGCGUUGUCCGGAAUCACUGGGCGUAAAGGGCGCGUAGGCGGCUCAUGAAGGCUGUGGUGAAAGUCCGGGGCUCAACCUCGGAUCGGCCGUGGCGACUCGUGGGCUGGAGCACUGUAGAGGCGGGUGGAAUUCCGGGUGUAGCGGUGGAAUGCGUAGAGAUCCGGAAGAACACCAGUGGCGAAGGCGGCCCGCUGGGCAGUGGCUGACGCUGAAGCGCGACAG